GAGGUUAUAGCUCAGUGGUAGAGUGUGUACUUGGCAUGCAGAAGGUCCUGGGUUCAAUCCCCCAUACCUCCA
rnacentral:tRNA from 1 species